GCUAAUCGUGUUUUGGGUGUACUAUUCCUUUAAGAGUUUAACUGCUGUUGCAGAGCAGCAGGAAGAAGUGGGUGUUAUUAGGGCACCAUGACAGAUACUUUGUUGAACGCUUUAAAAAAGAAAGAAAAGCAAUAUUCCCUGAUAGUACUGUAUAUGUUUACACUGUAAAUUAGGCUUCGCAGUUUAUAAAUUUUAUCUAAUUUCUAGAGUUUUUCUCUAUUUCUGGAAUUGAUUGUAAUUUCAUUUUUAAUGGUAUCUCCCACCUGUAGUGUUUGAGACAUCAUGCUAUAGGCUGUAUCGUGACUUGUUGCCUUUCCAUCCAGAAAGACAGUCUUCCUUUUAUCUGUUAUUAGUAGUCAGCUUGGCUAACCUUAGGCUUCUUAUAAUUGUUCCAGUACUAAUAAAUGUAUAAAUAUGGAAACUCCUCAUUCAUUGCUACAUUGACUCUUUAUCUCUUUCUGCUGUAUUGUUUUCAUUUUGAAGUGAUAAAUGGUAUAGUUUUCUAAAGUAUUUCACUUUUUUCUUUUAUUCGCGGUGCUUCACAAAUAACUACCUAAAUACACCCACGAGUCUCGCAGUUCUGCUCAUACAUAGAGAGCUAGACUUUGCCAGAUAUUGAAAAUUUCUUCCUUGGUUUUCAGGCCUGACCUUGGCUGAUAUUUAGACAUCAGUAUGAGUGAAAGCAGCAGUUGCUUUAAUAUCAAUCCAUCGCUGUUUGAGUUUUUUAGCACUUAGAAAUAGAUUAAUGUAUUUUCAUUUUAUUUAUUUAUUUAUACAUUUCAGAGAUCUGGAUCUUUUAUAGCAUCACUAUAUUUUAAGGUCAUGUGACACUACAGAUCCGUUUAACCACUAAUGCUCACUAAUUUUGGCUCUGAGAACCAAAACGGAACAAUUGACUGUUUAAAGUGUGUUGGAUCAUUUAUUUAGCACUCAGGGAAUCAAUUCUGACACAGAAACAGAACACAGUCAGCACUUUAAAACACUAAGGAGCUGCAGACAGAACCAGAAGGAUUCAAGCUGUGGCUGACAUGCCAACAACAUUUAGUUAUCAAUUGAUAUGAAGAUGCUGUCCAUCCUACAAGUCACCCUAGUGGUGUGGUGGAUCUCUUUGAUUUCAAGGUGCAGCUCAGCAUACGAGCUGCAGGAUACUAUCCAUACUCUCAAAGAAGAAAACCUCCACCUGCAGCACCGCUUGGAAAACCUCACCCGAGCCCUCAGAGAGCUGAAGCACCUUCUGACAGAGCACUCGAAAGCUCCUCGGGGGGAAUAUGAUCCUGAAUAUGUUCACGCCUGGAGGGAGUGGUCCCAACAUGGGAUUAGUGCUGAGACUCAUCAAAUGUUGGAGCGAGCUCUGUGUAUAACUGAACUCCAUGACACUGCGCAUCCCAUCUUCAUCUCUCCAGGCCUCCUCCUCUUCACAUCUGUUUUCUGUGUUCUUGCACAAUUUUGGUUUUAAGUAACAAACAUUCAGCUCCAAGUCAUCCACCAUCAUGUAGAAAUGUCUGAUAAUUCUUAGUUCAUUCAAUGUACCUGAGCAAAAAUCCCAGAAAUAAGGUUUUAUCGAAAUCUUUAAAAAUGAGCGCUAUAUGUGUAAAUGUGUAUAUACCUUCUAAAUAUGAUGAAAUAUAAUGAUCCUCUGCAGGAUCAUGUUUAUAUAACAAAAAUAAGAAAGUCUUUCAAUUUGAGUGAGGUUUUAAUGAUUAAUGUCAAGGCUUAGAAAGUAGGAAACAUUUUUUGAAGCAGACAGACAGUUGGAUUUCUCAACAACAUUUAUUAAGUAAACCAAUUUGCAGAAAACUGCAAGGGUGUCUAAGGCAGGAAAGGAACCUCUGCAGGGAGAGAACACAGGUUAGUGUCCACCUCUAUCUGGCGGAGGAAGAUUAUGAAUGUGUGACUCACUAACCUGGUCUUAAAGUUCAGUCCGUGCCCAGUGGUUGGUUCCAGCCGGUUGGUUGCCGACAAGACACGGCGGAAGCUGCCUAGGAGUACCAGACAUUAAAGUCCAGAAGGCGGGAGAUAAGAACCAAGCAGUCAAAGAAAGGCAGGAUAAUCCAGCGGGUAAAGCCAAAGCCUUUCUCAAAGACAUGUCAGGAGUCCGGGCCAGGAGGUAAGAGAUCUGAAGAGGUACCGAAGGGAAAUCCAGGAUGGUCUCAGGAAUCAGUUCUAGUGUCGGUAAACAGGGAGAAUCAAGCAGGUGUCCGAAGAGGUCAGGCUAACAGAUCAGGACAGGAAAGGGCCAGCUCAGAGGUCCAGAGGCAGAAUGGGUCAGGUCAUGCAAUCAGAAACAGCUAGAUAUGCUCAAAAACUCUUACCAAGGGCUCAAAUAAUCUGGCACCGAUGAAUGGUAGAAGGCAGGUUAAAUAAAGACUGGAGCAGGUAAAUCAGAUGAACAAUAACAAGAAACUGGAUGGAGCUAGGCAGGUGAAUGGAAUAAGUAAUCUGACCAGUCAUCAGUGCCAAGAUCAUGACAGAUUAAAGCUGAUGGGAGGAUUGCUGAAGGUCAUCUUUACAAAAAACAAGAAACACAAACAUCAGAUGAUUGUCUUUUGUUUAAACCCAACAACAUUUUUUUUCACAUACAUUUUUCAAUAAUAAAACUCCUGAGUAACAUGGAUUAAUGACAUUUAAAGUGUAAUAAAGUGUGAUAAUAAAAUGAAUUUUCUUAGAAGUUAUGAAUAAUAAAUGACACCACUUAUAGAGAUUAGUACACCUGAUACCCCAUUUGUCCAGUUUCCUUUAUUUCUUUUACAUUUUUGCGAUAAGCUGUACAUUUUCAACAUGUGGCUUUAUCAUGUUGAUGUAACAUUUCACCAGCUAUGUCUGUUCUUCAUUAUUAAAAUAGAGCUCCCUGCAUAGAUUAUAAAUCGGCACAAUUGUUCUUUCAUUUCCAUUUGAUUAUGCUGAACAGACCGCCAAUUUACAUUUGCAAGGACUUCAUCUGGCUGUAGUAUGCUCGCUGCUGCCUUGCCCAUGUGAGUGAGUAAACAGCAACUAGACAGCUCUGCUUGUACUUACCAAAUCUAAUUUUGCAUUAAAACAUGUUACAUAACUUACAGUGGAAUUUGUACUUUUUUAAUAGUCAAGAAAUUCUGUAAGCCUGCCAAUUCACACCACAUUAGAUGUAGGCAAUGCUGGGAAGACAAUUUUAUUGCACCACUAGAAAGUAAUAGUGCCAUAGAAACUCUAGCAGAAUUACACAAAAUUAUAUUGUUAAAUCUUGAAAAGCAAAGUGGACUUUCAAUAUAACCACACUUAUUCAACUGAUUGUCUCCUCUAAAGCUGUUUGUAGUUUAUAUUAAAAAAAAAUAAAAAAAGAUAUUUUGGACAUUGUUCCACAUUCCCUUUAUGGAUGGACUGGGUGCUAAUGCUGCCCAUUAACCUAUAUUUAUGUGGACACAGUCCUGGGAAUGGUUAUUGACCGAUUAAUUAAGAUUACUAUACUCUCCUUGUUAAAAAUCAAUUAAUUAGUGUCAUUAUGUUCAUUUAUUCAAUAAUGUGCUGGGUGUUAUAUAUUUUUUUAUUUUUUUAGUUUAAAUAAAUAAAACGUUUCUGGUAACCCAAAAGGCCUUUGUGUAAGGAUCUUGUGUUUAGAAUAUAUUAAAAAAAAGCAUGUGAAAUUUCUUUAAUAUUACUCCAUGACAUUUAUUUGGCUCCAUCCCACAUGUCCAGCUUUCCUGUCCCAACUGGAGAAAAGUAUCCCUACUGUACAACACAUGUUUCCACCACCAUGGAUGUUUAUGACGAUAUGUUCAAAGUUAUCUAUUAAGGUUUUUUUUUUUUUUUUGCAUCAAAGAAUAUUUUGCAUGUUGAGUAAGUGUUCCUGUUGAUCAAGGAAUUAGGUUGAGGCCUAUAUCUGUUUAGGUUUGAAGUUGUACCACACUUUUCCUCUAAUCUCAGAUCAUACAUUUUUCCUCUCUUAGCAUGCAACAUUUUGGUUAUUGUUUUCUAAUUGUCGGCUGUGAUGUUUGGAUACUGUGAUUAAACUAU